AAAAACUCCGGUGGUACGGGAUGGGCCCGCGUCUGAUUAGCUUGUUGGCGGGGUAGAAGCCCACCAAGGCGACGAUCAGUAGCCGACCUGAGAGGGUGACCGGCCACAUUGGGACUGAGACACGGCCCAAACUCCUACGGGAGGCAGCAGUGGGGAAUAUUGCACAAUGGGGGAAACCCUGAUGCAGCGACGCCGCGUGAGUGAGGAAGUAUUUCGGUAUGUAAAGCUCUAUCAGCAGGGAAGAAAAAAUGACGGUACCUGACUAAGAAGCACCGGCUAAAUACGUGCCAGCAGCCGCGGUAAUACGUAUGGUGCAAGCGUUAUCCGGAUUUACUGGGUGUAAAGGGAGCGCAGGCGGUACGGCAAGUCUGAUGUGAAAGCCCGGGGCUCAACCCCGGUACUGCAUUGGAAACUACCGGACUGGAGUGUCGGAGGGGUAAGUGGAAUUCCUAGUGUAGCGGUGAAAUGCGUAGAUAUUAGGAGGAACACCAGUGGCGAAGGCGGCUUACUGGACGAUCACUGACGCUGAGGCUCGAAAGCGUGGGGAGCAAACAGGAUUAGAUACCCUGGUAGUCCACGCCGUAAACGAUGAGUACCAGGUGUCGGGUGGCAUGGCCAUUCG
rnacentral:rRNA from 1 species